rnacentral:rRNA from 1 species
GACGAACGCUGGCGGCGUGCCUAAUACAUGCAAGUCGAACGCUGAAGAGAGGAGCUUGCUCUUCUUGGAUGAGUUGCGAACGGGUGAGUAACGCGUAGGUAACCUGCCUUGUAGCGGGGGAUAACUAUUGGAAACGAUAGCUAAUACCGCAUAACAAUGGAUGACACAUGUCAUUUAUUUGAAAGGGGCAAUUGCUCCACUACAAGAUGGACCUGCGUUGUAUUAGCUAGUAGGUGAGGUAAUGGCUCACCUAGGCGACGAUACAUAGCCGACCUGAGAGGGUGAUCGGCCACACUGGGACUGAGACACGGCCCAGACUCCUACGGGAGGCAGCAGUAGGGAAGCUUCGGCAAUGGGGGCAACCCUGACCGAGCAACGCCGCGGGAGUGAAGAAGGUUUUCGGAUCGUAAAGCUCUGUUGUAAGUCAAGAACGGGUGUGAGAGUGGAAAGUUCACACUGUGACGGUAGCUUACCAGAAAGGGACGGCUAACUACGUG